GAAAUGCGAUAAGUAAUGUGAAUUGCAGAAUUCAGUGAAUCAUCGAAUCUUUGAACGCACCUUGCGCUCCUUGGUAUUCCUUGGAGCAUGCCUGUUUGAGUAUCAUGAAAUCUUCAAAGUAAAUCUUUUGUUAACUCAAUUGGUUUCUACUUUGGUAUUGGAGGUCUUUGCAGCUUCACACCUGCUCCUCUUUGUUCAUUAGCUGGAUCUCAGUGCUAUGCUUGGUUCCACUCGGCGUGAUAAGUUAUCUAUCGCUGAGGACACUGUAAAAGGUGGCCAAGGUAAAUGCAGAUGAACCGCUUCUAAUAGUCCAUUGACUUGGACAAUACUUUUAUGAUCUGAUCUCAAAUCAGGUAGGACUACCCGCUGAACUUAAGC
rnacentral:misc_RNA from 1 species